rnacentral:rRNA from 1 species
GAUUGAACGCUGGCGGCAUGCCUUACACAUGCAAGUCGAACGGCAGCACGGGGCAACCUGGUGGCGAGUGGCGAACGGGUGAGUAAUGUAUCGGAACGUACCAUUCAGUGGGGGAUAACGUAGCGAAAGUUACGCUAAUACCGCAUAUUCUGUGAGCAGGAAAGCAGGGGAUCGCAAGACCUUGCGCUGAUUGAGCGGCCGAUAUCAGAUUAGUUAGUUGGUGAGGUAAAAGCUCACCAAGGCGACGAUCUGUAGCGGGUCUGAGAGGAUGAUCCGCCACACUGGAACUGAGACACGGUCCAGACUCCUACGGGAGGCAGCAGUGGGGAAUUUUGGACAAUGGGGGCAACCCUGAUCCAGCCAUGCCGCGUGAGUGAAGAAGGCCUUCGGGUUGUAAAGCUCUUUCGGCCGGGAAGAAAUCGCAUGGGUUAAUACCCUGUGUGGAUGACGGUACCGGAAUAAGAAGCACCGGCUAACUACGUGCCAGCAGCCGCGGUAAUACGUAGGGUGCGAGUGUUAAUCGGAAUUACUGGGCGUAAAGCGUGCGCAGGCGGUUUUGUAAGACAGGCGUGAAAUCCCCGGGCUCAACCUGGGAACUGCGCUUGUGACUGCAAGGCUAGAGUACGGCAGAGGGGGGUGGAAUUCCACGUGUAGCAGUGAAAUGCGUAGAGAUGUGGAGGAACACCAAUGGCGAAGGCAGCCCCCUGGGUCGAUACUGACGCUCAUGCACGAAAGCGUGGGUAGCAAACAGGAUUAGAUACCCUGGUAGUCCACGCCCUAAACGAUGUCAACUAGGUGUUGGGUGGGUAAAACCAUUUAGUACCGGAGCUAACGCGUGAAGUUGACCGCCUGGGGAGUACGGCCGCAAGGUUAAAACUCAAAGGAAUUGACGGGGACCCGCACAAGCGGUGGAUGAUGUGGAUUAAUUCGAUGCAACGCGAAAAACCUUACCUACCCUUGACAUGUUCAGAAGUCUUGAGAGAUUGAGAUGUGCCCGAAAGGGAACUGGAACACAGGUGCUGCAUGGCUGUCGUCAGCUCGUGUCGUGAGAUGUUGGGUUAAGUCCCGCAACGAGCGCAACCCUUGUCGUUAAUUGCCAUCAUUUAGUUGGGCACUUUAACGAGACUGCCGGUGACAAACCGGAGGAAGGUGGGGAUGACGUCAAGUCCUCAUGGCCCUUAUGGGUAGGGCUUCACACGUCAUACAAUGGUCGGUACAGAGGGUUGCCAAGCCGCGAGGUGGAGCCAAUCCUAAAAAGCUGGCCUCAGUUCAGAUUGCAGUCUGCAACUCGACUGCAUGAAGUUGGAGUUGCUAGUAACCGCAGGUCAGCAAUACUGCGGUGAAUACGUUCCCGGG